AAAGCUGUACACUCCAACCCAGAGAAGUCCAGGAGAACAAUUCUUGACAUGGACCGUGGAUAAAUGGAUGCUUUCAUUCCUCCAGUUUCCUUAAUCCUCCAAUCUGAAUGGACUGGGGGUGGCAAGUUCUCAGGGGUGCUGGAAGGCAGGAAUUUUGCAUAAUCUCCCCCUGAAGGUCUGCUCUGUUUGGAAGAGGUUAUCCUUUGAAGACAACUGGACAGCAUCCAACAAGCUUUUUCCUGCUCUCACAAUCUUUGCCCACUUCCCUUCACCCUUCUCCUUGGCUCUACCCAUCUCUGGGAAAAUGGGAAAAUUAUAACAAACCUUAGAUCCUUUCUUGGAGAAUUGUGAGUGGAGUAUUAUAUCCUAAUAGCCUGUUGGCAAAUCUAAACCCUAUUCAAAGAAAAUCCACUUUGAAAACUGAAUCUGUAGGGUUGCGAGCAUUCCUGGGAAAAUCUAUUUUCUCCUCUUCCUUUUUAUUUCUCCUUUUAUCUGAGGGUUUAAAUUUUCUGGCUCUAUUAUUCAAUUCAAGGCUUCUGUUAUUUCAGUUUUGGAAAUAGCCACCAGUGGAGACAGAAGAGAAUAUUCUGCAGAGAGGAGUCUGCCACUGCUGUGACUGGAACAAGAUUCUCACAUAGACUGGCAAAGUUAGGAAAGAAUGGAUGAAGAGUUUACGAUUCCAGAACUAGCAGCAGUGAGUCCAGCCCCAGCUUUGGGGAGGAGCAGGCAAGCAGUGUGGAGAAGCCUCGGAGCCUAAAAGCGGAACCGUAAGACAGCAGUUCCACCACCACCGAGCAGACAUACAAACAACGGAGCCCGGAUGUUGGAGAUUUGGAAUCAAGCUUGGUAUCCACUGGCUGGUGAGGGGGCUAGGAAAAUAUGGUUUAUAUUCACAGAGGAGUGUUACUGAGCCAUAGGAAUAAUGAAAUAUUGUUAUUUGCAGCAACAUGGAUGGCACCGAAGGGCACGAGUGAAGUCAGGCCAAAGAAUGACAAAAGCCAUAUGAUCUCAUUCAAGAAAUAUUUUCGAUUAGGUAUGACAAACAAGGAGGGAACAGUUACAUGGAGUCAAUCAUCCAACCCAGACUUCACCAUGAUCACCUUCGGCUCUAAGGAAGAGUUUCCUCCUUCAUUCUGAUUAAAUAUUUUGCAACUGUAAACACAUGAAGAGUGCAGACCCUCUUUCUCUAUCAAGAAUAUUUGAGUCCACUACUUUCACUGUGUUGUGAUUUGAAUCUUAUGAAUAAAUUGAAACUUAAAAUUUUAUCUUUUUUUCACCAGAAGACUAAUAAGAAAGUUUGGUAUCAUGCAGAAUGAACAGAAAGUAUUAAGUAUUUUUGAAAUAAAAACCUUUUACUAAUUAACACAUUUUGAAAGUUUCAAAAUAAGUUGAAAUCUUCUAAAUGUAGUAGUUUUUAUUAUUAAAUUGUAUCCAUUUUGAUGGGGAUGCUCUAAACCAAUGUUUAUCACUGAGUUUGAUGAUCACCAAAAGAGCAAAGAAGUGAGAAUAUUUAAGAACAAUUUAGUUGCAGAGAACACUGAGGGACAGAUUGGAAUGAAGCUUCAUUUUUCCAUAUCCAGCAUAUCGAGUAGAAGGAAUGUAUUAAUAAAACAGAGUGUCAAGAUAUUUCAGAAGUGGAGGAAUGAGGGCCCAAAGAGAAAAUCAAGGAUAAGAUAGAAGGACUAAAGAUUUUCUUUGACUGAUUUUAUCAGUAGGAAGCAUUUUACAUUAUACAGUUUAUCAGAAAAAUCUUCAUAUGCAUUGAAGAAAGCAUGCACAGUGGUGGGUGGGAGCCUGGAAAAAUCAAACGUAAUGAAGGCCUUAGGUCCCUAAGGGUAGAGCACAAGUCAGGGCCAGUGUUAUUGAAAGCAGAAGACAGACCAGCCAAUUUGAUUGUCUAAUGAAAGCAGAUAUUGCCCAACAGAUUACAG
rnacentral:lncRNA from 1 species